rnacentral:rRNA from 1 species
UACAGAGGGUGCGAGCGUUAAUCGGAAUUACUGGGCGUAAAGCGCGCGUAGGCGGCUUUGCAAGUCGAGUGUGAAAUCCCCAGGCUUAACCUGGGAACUGCAUUCGAGACUGCAUAGCUAGAGUAUGGGAGAGGGAAGUGGAAUUUCAGGUGUAGCGGUGAAAUGCGUAGAUAUCGGAAGGAACAUCAGUGGCGAAAGCGACUUCCUGGACCAAUACUGACGCUCAUGUGCGAAAGCGUGGGGAGCAAACAGG